rnacentral:rRNA from 1 species
UACGAGAGGCCCAAACGUUAUUCGGAAUUACUGGGCUUAAAGAGUUCGUAGGCGGCGCAGAAAGUAGGGUGUGAAAGCCCUCGGCUUAACCGAGGAAUUGCGCUCUAAACUACUGUGCUUGAGGAACCUAGAGGUGAGCAGAACUGAUGGUGGAGCGGUGAAAUGCGUUGGAUAUCAUCAGGAAUACCGGAGGCGAAGGCGGCUCACUGGGGGGUUUUCUGGACGCUGAGGAACGAA